CCAGACCCAAGAAUGCAGAAGAGCUGAAGGCCACUAUCAGAGCAACCUGGGCUCUCAUAACACCUGAGCAGAGCCACAGACUGAUCGACUCCAUGCCACGCCACAUUGCUGCAUCCAUCGAUUGACAUCAAGUGGAAAGCUGUGUGUUUAUAAGAAACAAAUCCACCAUCAAGAUGUUUUUAACCUAACGUUGCAUCCACUGGUGCUCAAGUAAUGUAAUGGUAAAUUUCUCUAAAUCUAUUCCGAUGAUGAAACAAACUCAUCUACAUCUUAUAUAUACUGAGGGUGAGUACAUUUUA